rnacentral:rRNA from 1 species
CAGUGGGGAAUUUUGGACAAUGGGCGCAAGCCUGAUCCAGCAAUGCCGCGUGAGUGAAGAAGGCCUUCGGGUUGUAAAGCUCUUUUGUCAGGGAAGAAACGGCUGAGGAUAAUACCUUUGGCUAAUGACGGUACCUGAAGAAUAAGCACCGGCUAACUACGUGCCAGCAGCCGCGGUAAUACAUAGGGUGCAAGCGUUAAUCGGAAUUACUGGGCGUAAAGCGUGCGCAGGCGGUUUUGUAAGUCUGACGUGAAAUCCCCGGGCUCAACCUGGGAAUUGCGUUGGAGACUGCAAGGCUGGAGUCUGGCAGAGGGGGGUAGAAUUCCACGUGUAGCAGUGAAAUGCGUAGAGAUGUGGAGGAACACCGAUGGCGAAGGCAGCCCCCUGGGUCAAGACUGACGCUCAUGCACGAAAGCGUGGGGAGCAAACAGGAUUAGAUACCCUGGUAGUCCACGCCCUAAACGAUGUCUACUAGUUGUCGGGUCUUAAUUGACUUGGUAACGCAGCUAACGCGUGAAGUAGACCGCCUGGGGAGUACGGUCGCAAGAUUAAAACUCAAAGGAAUUGACGGAAGCC